AUUUUAUUUUGGAAUAAGGGCCAAAUUGGUCACUAAACGUAACGUUAAAGUGCAAUCAGGCCACUGGACCUAAAAAAAAGUGCAAUUACUCCCCUCAACGCCUCAAAUACCUCCAAUUUUACCUGAUAGCCGGUUGUUAGCCCUUCCAUCCGGUUGAUUGUUGAGCUGGAUGAUUACAUGGCUUUAUUUAUUAUUUUGCUUUAAUUUCUUUUGUUUUCCUUCCUUCCAGCGUGUAAGAAACAAACCACUCAUAUUUUCUUCUUCAUUUUCUCUUCUUUCUACAACCCUAACCGCAUCCCCUACCGGCCGACUCCGACGGCCAACCACCGACACGACCGGCGACUGUGCAACUGCCGACGGUGCUUCUGCAUGGGCUGCUUCUGGGCCGUCCUGAUCGAUGAUAUACAUGUUCUCAUGGAUUUCCAUGGCAACAGGUAAUACAAAAGCUUUAAUGAUCUCAAAAAAUGUCUUUAUCAUGUAUCUAAAAUCUGUGCUAACUUCAUAACAUUAACCUUAACAUUAAUCAACAUCAUUAUUCAAUAAUCUAAUUAACCUUUAAUUACCUUAUUAACACAGUAAUUAGUCCUAAUCCACCUUUAAUACAUCUUCUUCUUCCUUUGCCUUGCCGAACUCGAACCAGUGACACCCUUCAACACCACCAUCAAUCCAACAUCUUCCUUCCAGCUCAACAACACCACCGCCCACUGCCCAGGAGGAGAAAUCCAUCCAGCCACCGCUACCGCCGCCAGAUUCCGCCGGGAGAAGGGAAGACCGGAGAAGGGACCAAUGCCCGUCGCUGCUCACCGCCGGAAACAGGGGAAUGAGAGAGAAGGCUUCGCCAGAACUGCCCUGCCAUCGCCGGCGCUAUCUUCUACGUCAUCUACCGCCCCCAGUGCCCCGCAUUCUCCGUCUCCUCCCUCAAGGUCUCCUAAUUCAACCCCACCACCGUCGCCGCCGACACCACCCACCUCACCGCCAAGCUCAACCUAACCCUCUCUGCCAAAUAUCAUAACAAGAAAUUGAUCUACACCGCCGACGACACCACGCACCUCACCGUCUUCGCCUCCCAGGUAACCCUAGCCAAUAAUCCACUCACCCCUCUCGCUCACCUCCCAAGUUCUCGACGCCGAUUCCGUUUCCGAACUCAAAUCAGAUCUGAAGAGAAGACGCGGAUUGCCCAUCAAGAUCGUCAUGGACACCAUGGUUGUGCUGAUGCUUGAGAAAUUGAAGAAAAAGAAGAGAAAGGUUGUGGUUGUGGUCGUCCGAACUCAAAGUUUGACUCGCUGAUUCCAUUUCUUACACGCUGGAAGCAAUGAAAAUUAAGGAAAAUAAAAGAAUAGAAUUACUAAUUCCAUGUAAUCAUCCAGCUAAGCAAUCAAACGGAAGGAAGGGCUAGCAACCGGCUAUCAGGUAAAAUUGGAGACAUUUGAGACGUUGAGUGGAGUAAUUACACUUUUUUUAGGUCCAGUGGCCUGAUUGCACUUUAGUGUUACGUUCAGUGGCCAAUUUGACCCUUAUUCCUUUUAUUUUACAUUUUUACCCCCAAACCCUAAGUAUAAGAGAUAACUUUUUUCCUUGUGCACUAUUCAUUCCAAGAAAAUCUGCAGCUCUCUCUCGUGUCUCUCUCUACACCUCCCUAUCAUCUUCAUCUUCUUCAUCUUGAAAGCUCCUCUUCUCCAAGAUUUAGUCUAAGAUUUGGUAAGCCUCAUUCUCUCUCCCUCCAUUCCAUUCUCUAGAUUUAGUUGUUAAGAUGAUGUAUUUAUGUGGGUUUGUUUGUUGUGCUUGUGAGUGGAAAUGGUGAAGUUAUUGCUAUGUUUUAGUUUGGAGAAGGAAGAUGAAGGGUGAAGAAGAAGAGCUUAGAAAUGGUUUUGGCUAGAACAAGGAAGCUUGAGUAUAGAUAUUUGGUGAUUUUACCUGUGUUGUUUGGGGGAAAGCAGAGUGUAGCAGCCUUCUUGUGCAAGCAAAAACAACCUUCCUUCUUGUGCAGGCAACGAGGAGUAGCAGAAACCUUCCUAGGUUGAGGUGUUAUGCUUUGGAAAAUUGUUUAAGGUGAAGAAGGAGCCACUGGUGCACCUCUCAGUGUGCACCAGUGGAAGCCACGGACCUAGCCAACUGCCGACGAGGGGAGCCGUGGCUAGACGGCCCUAGGCCGCCGCUGGACGGCUCCAGGCGGCGGGGCUCCCCUAGCCCCGCUCCUAGGACCGUUGUUGGCUACAUGUGCAGUGGCCGGGCCCUUGUGGCUCAGCUACGUGUCGUUUCGGGCCGGGUGUCACAGGCCCUUGUGGCUCGGUACCUUGGGGCUGUCAUGAUGCACGUUUGGCCUUUGAUUUCGUUGAAUUUGGAUUAGAAAUGAGCAUGUUAUGGUAGGAUUUGUGAUGAAAUGCUUCACAGUAAUGUUAUUUGAGUUCAUCA